rnacentral:misc_RNA from 1 species
UGAAGUCGUGGUCACCUUGUGUCUGAUAGCGGAACUAGUACGAUAGCCGCGGCUGUGGCGGAGUCCAACCGCAAGUCGCCACAACAUUUGGAUGCCGGAUACAUGUGGCGCUCAUACUCAUAGGUCAUCUUGUGGAUGCCGCCUAAGAGCGGUGCUCGAAGCGAAAGGAUUAGUUUUGUUUCUACUAAACGAGAAUACGGUUAUACACUAAAACAAAGUUAAAAUUAAUUAUUGAUCCACCAAAUCUUAUACUCUCCUUUCAUUCGGUCUACAACUUUCUUCAUUUUUUUUAUGAAUUAAAAUGAUACAUUUAUUUACAUGAUUAUAAAUCAAGUAAACAGUGAUAUUUACAGUAUAGAUAUGAUGAAGUUAUAGGUUAUACAGUGUUGUUAUAUAUAAACAAUAUUUAUUAUAGUAUAAUUAAGAAUUUUAGAAACGUGAUACUAUGGCAUCAAUGGAUAUUAACCUAGAAAAUAUUAACGAGAAACAAUGUAAAAAUGUACGAUCUGCGUUUUACAAGAAACCAAUUAAAAAAUAUAACUAUAAAUUAGAUGUUGACAGCAUUUACAAUCCUCAGGAGCUGAGACGAAAACAACUUUUAGAAAUUCAAAAAAGAAAUAGAAAUAUCGUAUUUAAUACUGGACGAGACAUAUUGGAUAUUUUUAACUCUGACAAUGAAGAUAAAGAAUAUAUGGAAAUUGAACAUUACAAUAAACCUUGGAAAAAAUAUGAACGAUGUAAACAUUAUGCUAAUCAAUUUAUGUUGUCAGAAUGGAUGUUCGAAGCACCUCAAGAUAUUCUGGAAAAAUGGAUUGUAGUUCCUUGUCCCGAAGGCAAAAGAACUUUACUAAUUGCGCACAAGAAUACAACAAAGGCUUUUAAUAGACGUGGUAACAGACUAGGAAAAUUUCAAUCUGCGCUGCCAGGAGGAAGUUCCAGUGAACAUCAUAGUCGUUGCACUAUUUUGGAUUGUAUAUGGGUAGAAAAUCGAAAAACAUAUUAUGUUUUGGAUGUACUGGCAUGGUCUAAUCAAUCCCUUUUAAAUUGUGAUACAGAAUUUCGAUUUUUUUGGUUAAAAUCAAAAUUUCAAGAAAUACAAGAAUUACAAAAAGGUGAUACCUGUAACAAUAAAUAUCCUAUUUUAUUUCUUCCACAUAUAAAUUUUGAUUGCAAUCUAGAAUCAUCGUUAGGAAAUUUAUAUGCAUUAGCACCAUUAGAUGGAUUAUUAUUUUAUCAUCGUGAUGGACUAUACACUAGAGGUCAUACACCUCUUGUGACAUGGUUGAAACUUUUUAUGUUACCUGAAAUACUUGGAAUAUCUUUAUCUCCAUUCGACGAUAAACCUGAUGAUUAUGUAGAUAUCAGACAUUAUUUAUUGAAUCUCAAGGAAAAGAAAAAUAAUGCAAAAACACUGACAACAAGUAUGGAUAUUGUGGAUGAGGAAGUCGAAAUGACAUAAGUUUUACCUUAAACAUAAUAUAGAUGACUGAAAAGAUGAACAAUAUAAAUAUAAAUUUCUCUGUCAUAUAUGAUAAUAUACGCUUUACACGAUGUGGGUCCAUUAUCUUCAUCUAAAAAAUGUUGCGGCUGACAAACUAAUUCUGUGUAAACUGCAUAAUCCUAAUUCUAAUCCAGCAAUGUUUUUUAUUUGAAUGUAUAAACACUUACGAAAUCUUUGAA